AGCCAGUGAUACUUUGCACCGAGGUCGAGGAGAAAUACCCUGUUAUUAAUCAAGAGUUGAUGCUUUCAGGGUAUAGUGCCUCUAUUCUUGUGGAAUUCAAAUAGAUUUCAUUGAGGGCUCUGCCGAGUUGUGUGCAGUAGAGACUAGGGAGGGGUGCGACUCGGGCGAAUGGUGACUUCAGUCAGCUGAAUCGCCUGCAGAGCCAGCCAUGGGCGUGGAGACAGAAGAUCCCCUAAAAAGAGUAUUGCAGUACUUACUGCACUUCUCUGCAUCAUCAUGGCCAUCCAGGGUCCUGUGACAGGACUCCAUAGACGUAGAGGACCGCCAUUAGAGCACGCAGAGCAGCGCUGUCGUUCCGUGAGCAAAUGCGAGGUGUCGUGCCUCGUGGACGGACUGGUGACGCUUCUCGCUUCCCACUAUGCCUCAGACAACGAAUAACCGAAGGCAGUCAGCGCAGCUGUGGUAUCUGA